UACGUAGGGUGCGAGCGUUAAUCGGAAUUACUGGGCGUAAAGCGUGCGCAGGCGGCUUUGCAAGACAGAUGUGAAAUCCCCGGGCUCAACCUGGGAAUUGCGCUUGUGACUGCAAAGCUGGAGUGCGGCAGAGGGGGAUGGAAUUCCGCGUGUAGCAGUGAAAUGCGUAGAUAUGCGGAGGAACACCGAUGGCGAAGGCAAUCCCCUGGGCCUGUACUGACGCUCAUGCACGAAAGCGUGGGGAGCAAACAGG
rnacentral:rRNA from 1 species